rnacentral:rRNA from 1 species
AUUGAACGCUGGCGGCAUGCCUUACACAUGCAAGUCGAACGGCAGCACGGGAGCAAUCCUGGUGGCGAGUGGCGAACGGGUGAGUAAAGUAUCGGAACGUGCCCAGUCGUGGGGGAUAACGUAGCGAAAGUUACGCUAAUACCGCAUACGAUCUAUGGAUGAAAGCGGGGGAUCGCAAGACCUCGCGCGAUUGGAGCGGCCGAUAUCAGAUUAGGUAGUUGGUGGGGUAAAGGCUCACCAAGCCGACGAUCUGUAGCUGGUCUGAGAGGACGACCAGCCGAACUGGGAAUGAGACACGGCCCAGACUCCUACGGGAGGCAGCAGUGGGGAAUUUUGGACAAUGGGCGCAAGCCUGAUCCAGCCAUGCCGCGUGCAGGAUGAAGGCCUUCGGGUUGUAAACUGCUUUUGUACGGAACGAAAAGGUUUGACUUAAUACGUUGGACUCAUGACGGUACCGUAAGAAUAAGCACCGGCUAACUACGUGCCAGCAGCCGCGGUAA